AACUUUACAAGUUUGUAAGCCCAUUUAGGGCACUUUGGAGGGAGUAGGCACUUUUUUGGGGGUUUUCUACUGUUCGACAAAAAUCAAUACCAUACUACCCCUGCUUACGUCAGCUGAUGCGCUAACCAUGG
rnacentral:sRNA from 1 species